AUUGAACGCUGGCGGCAUGCCUUACACAUGCAAGUCGAACGGUAACAGGUCUUCGGAUGCUGACGAGUGGCGAACGGGUGAGUAAUACAUCGGAACGUGCCUAGUAGUGGGGGAUAACUACUCGAAAGAGUGGCUAAUACCGCAUGAGAUCUACGGAUGAAAGCAGGGGAUCGCAAGACCUUGUGCUACUAGAGCGGCCGAUGGCAGAUUAGGUAGUUGGUGGGAUAAAAGCUUACCAAGCCGACGAUCUGUAGCUGGUCUGAGAGGACGGUCAGCCACACUGGGACUGAGCCACGGCCCAGCGUCCUACGGGAGGCAGCAGUGGGGAAUUUUGGACAAUGGGCGAAAGCCUGAUCCAGCAAUGCCGCGUGCAGGAUGAAGGCCUUCGGGUUGUAAACUGCUUUUGUACGGAACGAAAAGCCCCGGGUUAAUACCCUGGGGUCAUGACGGUACCGUAAGAAUAAGCACCGGCUAACUACGUGCCAGCCGCCGCAGUAA
rnacentral:rRNA from 1 species